UCUGUUCUAAUCAGUGUGAAAACUGAUUUCCACACUUCGGUGUGGUUUUUUUUCACAUUCAUUUUUACAACUUCCGAUAGUCCAGUUGGCUUGCCACUGACUUUUGGACUGGUUUCCGAGGGCCCAGCACUCCUCCCUUGUGAAGCCU
rnacentral:snRNA from 1 species